UACGAAGGGGGCUAGCGUUGCUCGGAUUGACUGGGCGUAAAGGGCGCGUAGGCGGUUCGUACAGUCAGACGUGAAAUUCCUGGGCUCAACCUGGGGGCUGCGUUUGAUACGUGCGGACUUGAGUGCGGAAGAGGGUCGUGGAAUUCCCAGUGUAGAGGUGAAAUUCGUAGAUAUUGGGAAGAACACCGGUGGCGAAGGCGGCGACCUGGUCCGAUACUGACGCUGAUGCACGAAAGCGUGGGGAGCAAACAGG
rnacentral:rRNA from 1 species